GCGCACCAGUCGCGAAACCUCCGCAAUACACGAAAGUGUGACGGGGCCAUCCCGAGUGCCGUCCGCUGAGGACGGCUUUUCCCCAGUGUACACAGCUGGGGGAAUAAGGAGAGGGCAAGCCUGGUGUCAGCCGCCGCGGUAAUACCGAGCUCUCCGAGUGGUGGGGACGCUUAUUGGGCCUAAAACAUCCGUAGCCGGCUGGGCAAGUCCUCCGUUAAAUCCAACGAUUCAAUCGUUGGGCUGCGGGGGAGUACUGUCC
rnacentral:rRNA from 1 species